GAUGAACGCUGGCGGCGUGCCUAAUACAUGCAAGUCGAGCGAACAGACGAGGAGCUUGCUCCUCUGACGUUAGCGGCGGACGGGUGAGUAACACGUGGAUAACCUACCUAUAAGACUGGGAUAACUUCGGGAAACCGGAGCUAAUACCGGAUAAUAUAUUGAACCGCAUGGUUCAAUAGUGAAAGACGGUUUUGCUGUCACUUAUAGAUGGAUCCGCGCCGCAUUAGCUAGUUGGUAAGGUAACGGCUUACCAAGGCGACGAUGCGUAGCCGACCUGAGAGGGUGAUCGGACACACUGGAACUGAGACACGGUCAAGACGCCUACGGGAGGCAGCAGGAGGGAAUCUUCCGAAAUGGGCGAAAGCUUGAAGGAGCAACGCCGCGUGAGUGAUGAAGGUAUUCGGAUCGUAAAACUCUGUUAUUAGGGAAGAACAAAUGUGUAAGUAACUAUGCACGUCUUGACGGUACCUAAUCAGAAAGCCACGGCUAACUACGUG
rnacentral:rRNA from 1 species